rnacentral:tRNA from 1 species
UGGAAAGACGUCUGUUGAAGUGUUAAGUUGUAACCUUAGUUAUGGGAUAUCUUACUCCCUCUUUCUAU